rnacentral:lncRNA from 10 species
AAGACAGGAGCUUUCCUGACACAAAGGAAGCUAAAGAAUGAUGCGCUCCACCACAAUGAGGGACUAAACAACAAAAAGGAGGCAUGAGAUUCAGGAAGCAAAAAAGGAAUUCAUCAUAUGAAGGAAUGAAGAUGUUCAAAAGAAAACCUUCAACCUCAUGCCAGAAGAUGUUCCCAGCUGUAUAAAUGCCUAACUCAGCUUCUAGUCCUUGGAAAUUAAGCAGCUCAUUGAAAAUUCAAGAGUUCCAGCCAGAAGCUACAGCUAGGCUCAGAUGUUGAAAUCAGUCUCUCCUGCUGAUCAAACUGUGACAUAGCCAAAGCAAUAG